rnacentral:rRNA from 1 species
AUUGAACGCUGGCGGCGUGCUUUACACAUGCAAGUCGGACGAGCGGCGAACGGGUGAGUAACGCAUCGGAACGUCCCGAGUAAUGGGGGAUAACUGUCCGAACGGACAGCUAAUACCGCAUAUUAUUCGAGCGGCCGAUGUCUGAUUAGCUUGUUGGCGGGGUAAAGGCCCACCAAGGCGACGAUCAGUAGCGGGGCUGAGAGGAUGAUCACCCACCUUGGGACUGAGACACGUCCCAGACUCCUACGUUAGGCAGCAGUGGGGCAUUUUGGACCAUGUGCUCAAGCCUGAUCCAGCCAUGCCGCGUGUCUGAAGAAGGCCUUCGGGUUGUAAAGGACUUUUGUCAGGGAAGCGGUACCUGAAGAAUAAGCACCGGCUAACUACGUGCCAGCAGCCGCGGUAAUUC